UAUGAGCACAAGAUCUUCGUUCAGGGC
rnacentral:piRNA from 1 species